CAAAACAAGCAGAGGCUGACAGGUAUGUGCCAGCCAGUAAUUACACUGCAAAGCUGCCCACACUGCUGGGGCUUGUUAAAGGCCUAAGAGCUAUUGGACAAAACUGAAGAAUCUGCGAGAACACCUGAUUACAGAAUUUACGGAAGAAAGAGUAAUGGAUUCCCUGUGAUCUGUAGAUACGAACUGGUGGAAAGAGUGAUGGAUCUCUAGGGGAUGAGUUCUAUUAACACGUUAAUGUUUGAUAAAUAGACAAGGCAUUAAGCAAGCCUGGCAAUGAAUGAGACGAAGUAGGUAUGUGACUUACACAUGAACAGACGCAUCAACAAAUAUCCCAGUGAUUCAGGGCCACUACUGAUGCGAUAGCAGUGAAAUGUCUGCUUUGGGAAAUACAGCCAUGAUAAACGUGCCAAAGUGGAUUUUUAUUAAACCAGAAAAAAAAUCAGAUUCUUUUCAGGAAAUAUUUGUGAUCAGCAAGUAAUCUUUUCUGGGUGAAUAGACAUGUCAAGUUGAAAUUGAAAUCCCAGGUGAAAUUCUAUAAAGUGGAAGUUUGUGAAGAUAUACACAUUUUAGAGGAAAUAUAAAUUAUGACAUUUUCAGUGGAAAAUGUUGAAGUUAUUUUAAAUUAAAUAAGAGUGCAAUUCUCGUAACACUCAUUUGAGAAGAAAUACCUGGUAUUUUGUGAGAUAACUUUCAGUGGAAACUUUUCAAGUAAAUCAAAAUGAGGAAAAUGUUGAGGAUAUUUCUGUGUAUUUUAGUGUGUUCCUCUUGUGUUGUGAGUACAUUGGCUACAGCCAGUGUUCAUAUUCCGUCCUUGGAUCACCAUGGAAAUGAGGUCACAGGUCAAAAUGAUUCUAGCUACCCUGACAACAGUAGCGAUGUGACAGGGGAUCACCAUGACGACAAACACUCCCAUGGUAUACAUGUGGCCAGCAUACAUUUUGAAUAUGUAGAACAGCCACUUACCAUUGCUGUCUUUCUGCUGAUUGCUGGAAUUUCUAAAUUGGGAUUCCAUCAUGCUGACAUCCUGUCCUCUCGCGUACCAGAGUCGUGG